GAUGAAGAACGUAGCGAAAUGCGAUAAGUAAUGCGAAUUGCAGAAUUCCGUGAAUCAUCGAAUCUUUGAACGCACAUUGCGCCCCUUGGUAUUCCAUGGGGCAUGCCUGUUCGAGCGUCAUUUGUACCUUCAAGCUUUGCUUGGUGUUGGGUGUUUGUCCAUUCUCUUGCAGAGGGACUCGCCUUAAAGUAAUUGGCAGCCAGUGUUUUGGUUUUGAAGCGCAGCACAAGUCGCGAUUCAACGCUAUACGCCAGCUUCCACAAGCCUUUUUCACUUUUGACCUCGGAUCAGGUAGGGAUACCCGCUGAACUUAAGCAUAUCAAUAAGCGGAGGA
rnacentral:misc_RNA from 1 species